rnacentral:rRNA from 1 species
GAUGAACGCUGGCGGCGUGCCUAAUACAUGCAAGUCGAGCGAACAGACGAGGAGCUUGCUCCUCUGACGUUAGCGGCGGACGGGUGAGUAACACGUGGAUAACCUACCUAUAAGACUGGGAUAACUUCGGGAAACCGGAGCUAAUACCGGAUAACAUGUUGAACCGCAUGGUUCAACAGUGAAAGACGGUCUUGCUGUCACUUAUAGAUGGAUCCGCACCGCAUUAGCUAGUUGGUAAGGUAACGGCUUACCAAGGCAACGAUGCGUAGCCGACCUGAGAGGGUGAUCGGCCACACUGGAACUGAGACACGGUCCAGACUCCUACGGGAGGCAGCAGUAGGGAAUCUUCCGCAAUGGGCGAAAGCCUGACGGAGCAACGCCGCGUGAGUGAAGAAGGUCUUCAGAUCGUAAAACUCUGUUAUUAGGGAAGAACAAAUGUGUAAGUAACUAUGCACGUCUUGACGGUACCUAAUCAGAAAGCCACGGCUAACUACGUG